rnacentral:rRNA from 1 species
GGGUUGUGAGGUUAAGCGACUAAGCGUACACGGUGGAUGCCCUGGCAGUCAGAGGCGAUGAAGGGCGUGCUAAUCUGCGAUAAGCGCCGGUAAGGUGAUAUGAACCGUUAUAACCGGCGAUACCCGAAUGGGGAAACCCAGUGUGACUCGUCACACUAUCAUUAACUGAAUCCAUAGGUUAAUGAGGCGAACCGGGGGAACUGAAACAUCUAAGUACCCCGAGGAAAAGAAAUCAACCGAGAUUCCCCCAGUAGCGGCGAGCGAACGGGGAGGAGCCCAGAGCCUGAAUCAGCAUGUGUGUUAGUGGAAGCGUCUGGAAAGGCGCGCGAUACAGGGUGACAGCCCCGUACACAAAAGCGCAUGUGCUGUGAGCU